GUCAUUGUCCAUUAUAUUUUGCGUUGGAGGACCAUCGUCGCUGCAGUUCGUCGUGUUCCGGUCUGCAACUGUGAGAAAUGUCACCAAGGCAUAUGUAAGAUGUAGGGAUGGUACCAACACCUAUGCCUACUUACCAUGGAGCAAAACCCAAAGAGGAAAAUCAAGAAAGAGCACAGCAAUGGCCACAGAGGUGAAAUGAGGCGAAGCAGCUGGAC